CUACGGGCUGCUCCAGUGAGGAAUAUUGGUCAAUGGGCGAAAGCCUGAACCAGCCAUGCCGCGUGAAGGAUGACGGCCCUAUGGGUUGUAAACUUCUUUUAUACGGGAAGAAACACCUCUACGUGUAGAGGUUUGACGGUACCGUACGAAUAAGCAUCGGCUAACUCCGUGCCAGCAGCCGCGGUAAUACGGAGGAUGCAAGCGUUAUCCGGAUUUAUUGGGUUUAAAGGGUACGUAGGCGGAAACUUAAGUCAGUAGUGAAAUCCCGCAGCUUAACUGUGGAACUGUUAUUGAUACUGGGUUUCUUGAAUAUUGUUGAGGUAGGCGGAAUAAGUAAUGUAGCGGUGAAAUGCUUAGAUAUUACUUAGAACACCGAUUGCGAAGGCAGCUUACUAAGCAAUUAUUGACGCUGAGGUACGAAAGCGUGGGGAGUGAACAGGAUUAGAUACCCCGGUAGUC
rnacentral:rRNA from 1 species